GACAGAGGGUGCAAACGUUGUUCGGAAUUACUGGGCGUAAAGCGCGUGUAGGCGGCUAUGUAAGUCGGGCGUGAAAUCCCACGGCUCAACCCGUGGAAGUGCACUCGAAAACUGCAUAGCUAGAGUCCUGGAGAGGAAGGUGGAAUGCUUGGGUGUAGAGGUGAAAUUCGUAGAUGUCAAGCGGAAACACCGGUGGCGAAGGCGGC
rnacentral:rRNA from 1 species